rnacentral:rRNA from 1 species
GUCCACGCCUUAAACGAUGAGAGCUAGUUGUCAGUAAGCAUGCUUAUUGGUGACGCAGCUAACGCAUUAAGCUCUCCGCCUGGGGAGUACGGCCGCAAGGUUAAAACUCAAAGGAAUAGACGGGGACUCGCACAAGCGGUGGAACAUGAGGUUUAAUUCGACAGUAAACGAGGAACCUUACCAGGGCUUGAAAUUCUUCCGGAAAGCUGCCGGAAACGGUGGCCUUCUCUCAAGGACCGGAAGUACAGGUGCUGCAUGGUUGUCGU